AGUGAACGCUGGCGGUAGGCCUAACACAUGCAAGUCGAACGGCAGCACAGUAAGAGCUUGCUCUUACGGGUGGCGAGUGGCGGACGGGUGAGGAAUACAUCGGCAUCUACUUUUUCGUGGGGGAUAACGUAGGGAAACUUACGCUAAUACCGCAUACGACCUACGGGUGAAAGCAGGGGAUCUUCGGACCUUGCGCGAUUGAAUGAGCCGAUGUCGGAUUAGCUAGUUGGCGGGGUAAAGUCCCACCAAGGCGACGAUCCGUAGCUGGUCUGAGAGGAUGAUCGGCCACACUGAAACUGGGACACGGUCCAGACUCCUACGGGAGGCAGCAGUGGGGAAUAUUGGACAAUGGGCGCAAGCCUGAUCCAGCCAUACCGCGUGGGUGAAGAAGGCCUUCGAGUUGUAAAGCCCUUUUGUUGGGAAAGAAAAGCAGCAGGUUAAUACCCCGCUGUUCUGACGGAACCCAAAGAAUAAGCACCGGCUAACUUCGU
rnacentral:rRNA from 1 species